rnacentral:rRNA from 1 species
GACGAACGCUGGCGGCGUGCUUAACACAUGCAAGUCGAACGGAAAGGCCCUGCUUUUGUGGGGUGCUCGAGUGGCGAACGGGUGAGUAACACGUGAGUAACCUGCCCUUGACUUUGGGAUAACUUCAGGAAACUGGGGCUAAUACCGGAUAGGAGCUCCUGCUGCAUGGUGGGGGUUGGAAAGUUUCGGCGGUUGGGGAUGGACUCGCGGCUUAUCAGCUUGUUGGUGGGGUAGUGGCUUACCAAGGCUUUGACGGGUAGCCGGCCUGAGAGGGUGACCGGCCAAAUUGGGAAUGGGGAACGGGCCAGACUCCUAAGGGGAGCAACAGGGGGGAAUAUUGCACAAUGGGCGGAAGCCUGAUGCAGCAACGCCGCGUGCGGGAUGACGGCCUUCGGGUUGUAAACCGCUUUCGCCUGUGACGAAGCGUGAGUGACGGUAAUGGGUAAAGAAGCACCGGCUAACUACGUG